UUGCACGAGUUGCCUGGAUACACGCUUGAGGAAGAACCAGUUGAGGAGAGAAUACACGAGUCGGAGACCUCACACCUUACUUUCCAUGAACAUCUUCGACCACAUAUAUGCGCAAAAGAAGCUGAGAAGUUCCACAAAAGAGUGAAGAGGAUACAUGAUUCUGUGAAGAUUAUGGUCCCAUGCACUAUGGUUGAAGUUGAAUUUUCUAUCCGACCAAUUAGAAGUGUGCAUUUAGGUUUCUACAAUGGGUUAUUUGCUGAUGAUAUGUAUGCAUUAGCUUCUCAGAGAGAGUUGAGAUGUAAAGGUGAAGUCGAUAAAGACCCAGCAAAAGCAUCAUCGAUCCACACCAACCAGAUACAAUCGAUCGACAUCGGACGCAUAUCAGAGCAGAAAAAGUUUGAAGUGUGUCAAAAUCUUUUUGAUGGAGGCACCAUCACGCGAUCAGACAAGUCUGGAGGAAAGAAGAGGAAGAAUUGGAAGACGAGGAAAAGGAUCAAGGGUGAUCCUCGGUUAUCAUUGAUUCCUCACUUUUCAGAUGGUAUCAGAAAGUAUAGAGUGCGUUAUCAGAUGCUUCUCACAGCUAUCACAAAGCUUCGAGCACUACUUAUUGCUGAGAUGAUAGACAAAGGAGAAGAGUAUAUGGAGGAGGCCUUCACAAAAGAAUGAUGAAGCUUCAAAGAGUAGAUAUUGAGAAAAGAAAAAGAUGAACACUGUAGCAGAGUUGUCGAUCGACACUGUAGCAGCAUCACUGUUCAUCGCAAAAAAAGGAAAAAAAAAAAGAAAAGAUCCAAGGAAGAAGAGUUGAUAUACCAUCAGCGAUCAACGACAACAUGCCAUUGUCGGUCGACAGAGCAUCACGAGUAUCGAUCGAUCGUCACUUAAUUGUGUCGAUCGACGCUCACCAUCAACGAGUAGGUGUACCAUUUCUCCUUAUAAAAUUUAGUACUUAUAAAUUAUUUUCCCACCAAUCUUAGACUGUAUAAUACUGGGGACAAUGUUUUUUUAAGUAUGGUGGAGGUUUUACUGAUAUUAUGUUUUGUAUUAAGCUUUAGUUUUAUAUGUUUUAUUGAGUUUUAUUGAGUCAAGAAGAGGAUGAUUAACUUUUUCAAUUUUACUUACUAUCUAACCACUCUCUAGCACCAUUCUUUGAGGUUAUUGACUGCAGAGUGUACUGAAUGGAAACACCAAUGUGGAUCACCUGCCAAUAAUAUCCAAGCUAGCUGAGAAAGUCUGAAGGAACUGAAGUUCACUUCCAACCUUAAUCAACUUAAUUUGCUUGUUUUGGGGCUUGGUAUACAUUGGAUUAGAUUCUUUUUUCAGAUCUGAAAGGUAUAAGUCUAUAAAUUUUUGGUUUCCUUCUCUCCUCUCUUCGGCAUCCAGAGAGAAAGAAAAAGAAAAGAUUGAGAUGAUUUCCUCAGAUGCAGAGGGGUAAGUACAUUACUGAUGACCCCACUAUUUUAAUUCAAAUGAAUGAUCACACAUUGUUGGAAGCGAGGGGUAGGUACAUUACCGAGACUCCAUUAUUCGCCUAUAUUUUGCCACGAAAAGAAAAAAGAAAAAAAAGAGAAGAAAAAUCGAAAAGAAGAUGAAUAAGAUGGACUGCAUCAACAUCAUUGUUCAUUGGAUUUGAGAAAAAAAAGGAUUCAGAGAAGAGAGAUAUAGGGAGAAAAGAAAUCAGAAUAAGACUACCUUAUUACUCAAAUACCUGUUGGGUUGAGAGUACAUGUGUCGUUAGAUCGAUACUCCCAAAAUUUAACCUACACAUUUAUAUGCAGAAAUGAGGUCAGUAGAGGGGUAUGUCAGGCGGAAUCGGCCGAGCUGUGGGCUGUAUAGUUUGGUUGCUAAGCUAAGGUCUAGUACAUUAAGUGUCUCUAAAGUUGGCACUAAUCUGAUGUGGCUUGCAACAUUGCAAAGGUGAAAGUAGUAAAAUUAAAAUUGUAUGAGUCUCUGAUGUUUUCAAACCUCUUUCACAUGAUUACUCUAUAUUUUGCUUGAGAACAAGCAAAAUGGCAAGUCUGGGAGAGUUGAUAUACCAUGACUUUUACCUGUUUUUAGCUAUUGUAUAUAGAUAUUUUAGAGAAUAUUAUAUGUGUUUGUGGUAUGUUUUAGAGUGUUUUCAGGUCCAGGUAUGUUUUGGGGAACUUUGGUGAUUAUGGAGCAUUUUUAGGUGCAGAAAUGCACAGACGCGUCAGAUGUUUAGAAAUGGACUUCUCACGGUGCGAUUGAGCCUAUAUUGAGACACAAGAUAUAGCUUUGUGUUAGGUUUCCAAUGCCACCGAUUUGAGGUCAAUCCAACGGUUAGAUCAAACGUUAUGCCUAUCUCGCGAAAGAGAGAUGCCGAGGAGAUGAAGGAACAUCAAUCGACGAUGCACCCUUGGUGUCGAUCGACGGUGAUGCCAGAACACGGGCUGAGUAUAUUUCAAGACAGACUUAAGCCCAGAAGCAACCACAAAUUACCAAAAUAUCCAUGGACGACCUAAAGCCAUAUUUAUGUGUUCUCUAAGCCAUUGUUGACGCUUACACUUUAUUCUAUUAUUUGUUCUUAGUUUUAGGUUAGAAGAGAAGGGAGGAACUCCUUCAGAGUCCUUUUGGAACUCCAUUGGUUUUGGUUUUAUUAUCUAUUCUAUUGCAUCUAUUCAUCUAUGAUUUCUGUGACAACUAUCAUGUUUGAGUAGAUCCACCUGCUAGGUUUAGGGAUUUUCUAGGGUUUUGAAUGAACUUCUGAAUUAUAGGAUUGUUAGGUUAACUAUAGAUCUUACACCAGGGUAGCUUGUAAUACUAGGAUCUAGAGUAGUUGGAAUAGCACGAGAGUGUGACUAAUUACUUGAACCUAGAAUCAUAGGACAAUUGAGAGGCACGAGAGUGCAAUCAAUUAACGGAACCCGAAUCCUGUUGGAUUAGAUACCUAGGCGCAUAGGAGAGUUGGUCUAGGAAUUUAGUUGAACAUUAUCGAUCUGAGCGUUAAUGCUUGUCUGAGGAAGCAUCAAUCGACGCUAACUCAAUAGCACUGAUCGACGCUAAUUCAUUGUUCGCAUGCGAGAGCUGGAACAAAGACUUAGUCAAUAGAUUAGACUAGCAGCGAGAGCUGGACGUCUUUUGCAUUAGAUAUCGAGUUCUAGGAUCAAUCCUAGCAUCUAUAGAUAGAGUCAUAAUAAUUUGAUUGAAACCUUAAGUCUAGCAAACCAUCCUUCCAUCAAACAACUCAUCAAUUUACUGAACAACUACCUUGUUCACUAUGUUCUGCUAUUUACUGCUUUAUAAUCUAAUAAUCUAGGUUAAUCAAUAACUAUUUAGAUCUAGUGUGUGUUCUAGCUCCCUGUGAAUUUGAUCCCUAAGUGCUACAAGUUGACAUCCUAUUUGAGAGAGUACAAAUCACUCCUUAGGGUAGUUUGAGUGAUAUCAAGGCUAAAGGCAUACAAAGAAAGAAUUGGUGAAGAAGUAGGGGAACAAGAUGAUCAAGGAAAGAUUAUGUAUGCUAAUACCGAGUCACGACAACCCUAUCAAGAAAACUAUAGGUCAGGCAGAGGAGGUCGAUCAAAUUGGAGAGGAAGAGGUCACGAAAGUUUUGGAUACUACGAGAUGAAUCUAAAGCAUUGUGUUAUCGGUGUGAAAAAUUGGGACAUUAUGCAUCAAAUUGUCCAGAUCGUCUACUAAAACUCCAAGAAGCAGUCGAGAAAAGGAAGAAGACACGCAAGAGGCUGAUUAUCGAAUGAUGCAUGAGGUGGUGUAUCUUAACGAGCAAAAGGUAAAGCCAAACAACUUUGAAGCAGACCUUAAUGUGACUUACUUGUGGUAUCUCGACAACGGAGCCAGCAACCACAUGAGUGGGAACCGUUCGUUUUUUUUUUUCAAACUCGAUGAAACUAUCAUGGGAAUGGUUCGAUUUGGUGAUGACUCUCGUAUAGAGAUAAAAGGAAAGGGAUCGGUAUGGUUUAUACUUAAAGAAGGAGGCAAGAGAGUUCUACACAACAUAUACUUCAUACCUAACCUAAGAAAUAAUAUCAUAAGUCUCAGUCAGGCUACCGAGGCAUGGUGCAAGGUGCGUAUGAAAGAUGAACUAUUUACUUUGUAUGAUCGAAACAGUGAACUAAUUGUGAGAACGGGGAGAUCUAAAAAUCGAUUAUAUUAAGUCAUCAUAAAGGUUGAGAGUCAAAGUUCUUCAGCUAGUAACGAUGGGAGAUACAACUACGUGGCAUGCACAUUUAGGGCAUAUUAACUUUGAGACUAUGAAGAUGAUGGUUAUAAUAAGGAACUUGUAGUAGGCGUACCAAAGGUUGGUUGGGAGAAAGAAACGUGCAUCUCGUGUUUAAGUGGUAAAGAAACUCGACAAUAUUUCCCACAAGGAAUUACAAAUCGAGCUACACAAGUCCUAGAGUUGGUACAUGGCGAUCUUUGCGGACCAAUCACACCCUCUACACCGGCGCAUAAGAAGUAUGUUUUCGUGAUCAUUGAUGAUUAUUCUCGGUAUAUGUGGACGAUUCUACUACAAGACAAAAGUGAAGCGUUUGACAAGUUACGAAACUUCAAAAUACAAGAUGAACAAGAGACAAAGGCGUCCAUCAAAACAUUCCGCAUGGACAGAGGGGGAAAGUUUACAUCGCAUGAGUUUCAAGGUUACUGCAAGAAACAUGUCAUCAAUAGGCAUAUCAUGGCACCUUAUUCACCUCAACAAAAUGGAGUUGUUGAGAGGCAAAUCAGAACACUAUUAGAGAUGACAAGACGUAUCUUAAAACACUAGGAUGUUCCAAACUAUCUAUGGGGUGAAUCUAUCAGACAUGCUACGUAUUUGAUCAACAGAGUGGCAACAAGAUCGCUAGCAACUGCAUAAAUACCAUACAAGAUUUUUAAAGGAAGAAAACCGAAUCUUAGCCAUCUUAGGUUGUUUGGUUGUAUUGGAUAUGCAAGAACUGAGGUAGCUGGAAGAAAAAAAGCUAGAUGAUCGAUCAAAGACUCUGGUUCACCUUAAAACAGAACGUGGAUCAAAAGCUUAUCGACUCUUUGAUCCAACUAAUAUAAGAAUUGUUGUCAGCAGAGAUGUCAUAUUCGAUGAAGAUAAACAAUGGAACUGGAGUGGCGAGAAAGAAAGAAAGAAACUAUGACGAUCAUAAAAUUUUCAGGUUAAGCUUUGGAAUGUAUGGUGAGAAAAUAGAUGAAGACGAUCAUAAUGAUGGUUCUACUCGAGAUAUGAAUGGAACCGAGAAUAUUGAUGAAGUUCAAAAUGAAGACGAUGAAGCAGAGGCUACGUCACAUGGUGAAACAGAGGAAGAUGAAGAAGGUGAGGAAGAUCAAAGUUAAGAUCAACUAGGAUAAGGAGGACACCAUAGUAUCUAAACGACUACAUAUGUCUUGCCGACAUUGAGUAAGAGAGAUUGUUGAUCUUGAUCAACGAGGAAGCUUGGGAUUUCAGUGAGGCUAAGGACUCCACAGUAUGUAUACUAGCAUGUGAAGAUGAGAUUGCGUCCAGCAUAAAGAACAAGACGUGGGACUUGGUUGAUCUACCCAUGGGUGCUAAGCCAAUUGGACUAAAGUGGGUGUUCAAGAUAAAAAGAAAUCCUGAUGGAAGUGUGAAUAAAUACAAAGAAAGGCUGGUCGUGAAAGGGUAUGUCCAAAGGCAUGGAGUUGAUUUCGAGGAAGUCUUUGCCCCAGUUGCAUGUAUCGAGACAGUUUGCUUCAUCAUUGCUUUAGCUGCAUCGAAUCAAUGGGAAAUACAUCACCUUGACGUCAAGACCACUUUCCUUCAUGGAGACCUAAAAGAAGUUGUGUAUGUGAAGAAGCCGGAAGGUUUUGAGGUAAAGGGCAGCGAGGACAAAGUUUACAAGCUUAACAAGGCACUCUACGAUUUAAAGCAAGCUCCAAGAGCUUGGAAUGUGAAGUUUAACAAGAUUCUCAGGGAGAUAGGUUUCGAGAAGUGUUUUAAACCUUCUCUUUAUUGUAAGAAGGAGAGCGAUCAUAUUCUUAUCGUUGCGGUUUAUGUCAAUGAUCUCUUGGUCACUGGCCCUAACCUUAAGUUGAUACUCGAAUUAAAAAAAAAAAGAUGUCUAAGAAGUUUAAGAUGAGUGACCUUGGGAAGUUAACUUAUAACCUCGGUAUAGAAGUGCUUCAACAUGAAGGUGGUAUUAUCUUGUGUCAGGGAUGAUAUGCGCAAAAGAUCCUAGAAGAGGCAGGUAUGGACGAUUGUAAUGCUUCUCAGGCACCAAUGGAACAAAACUUGAAGAUUUCGAAGGGGCCUGAAGAGAAGCGAAUCAACGAGAAUAACUAUAGAAGGAGCAUUGGAUGCCUUCGAUAUCUUCUUCAUACUCGUCCAAAUUUUUCUUUUGAUGUAGGAAUAUUGAGUCGUUAUAUGCAGGAACCAAGAGAGUCGCAUGGAGCAGUAUUGAAUGGACUCUUGCGGUAUUUGCGUGGGACUAUGUCAUAUGGACUACCAUACGAACACUCAACGGGUGAAAGUUUGGUAGGCUAUAGUGAUAGUAGUCAAAAUGAUGAUGAAGAUGAUGGUAGGAGAACAACAUUUCAUGUGUUCUACUUCGAGAAGUGCCCUACUACGUGGUGUUCGACAAAGCAAGAGAUUGUUGCACUAUCCUCAUGUGAAGCCGAGUUCAUGGCAGCGACGGAAUCAGCAAAGCAAGCGAUAUGGCUUCAAGAACUCAUAGCUGAAGUAGUCGGAAGUGAAUGUAAGAAGGUAACAGUAUGGAUUGACAACAAAUCAGCAAUAGCACUUACGAAGAAUCCGGUGUUUCACAGGCGAAGCAAGCAUAUACAUAGAAGAUUUCAUUUUAUUCAUGAAUGCGUUGAGAAUGAGCAAAUGGAAGUUGAACAUGUUUCGGGAAGUGAACAGAAAGCCAAUAUACUAACAAAGCCGCUGGGAAGAUUGAAGUUUAAAGAAAUGAGGAGUCUUAUUGGAGUUGAAGAUGUGAAAAAAUCCAAGUUCAAGUUUAAGGGGGAGAAUGUUGGAUUAAGCUUGGAAUAACUUGUGAAACAAGUUACUAUUUCCUACCGAGUUAUGGAUUAGGAAAAUAGGAAAAUUUAUAACAUAAGAUGUCUAAUGGUUUUAGGAUUUCUAUUCUCUAUAUAAGAAGAUACAAGGUUGCUACAUAACUCAAGUUUUAGAGAUUAUGUGUUUGAGUGCUUAAGGUUUUGCAAACAAAGAGAGUUAUUCUUUAUUUGCAAACAAUCUUUAGAACAAUACUUGAUUUAUAGAAAUUGAUAUCUCUGAAUGAAUUGGUUAUGAUAUCAUGCCGAGAUGAUGAUCGACAUCGAUGUCAGUGUGUUAUUACCGGGAUGACGCAACACCUUGUUUUGGCGACACAUUGUUUCUUUAGCGUUGAGAUCAGCCUUCUUUGAAGAUAUUUUCAGUUUAAAUUGUUGAAUUUAAAAUUGUGAUAAAAGAAUUUAAAGUGUAGGAAGAGUUUUCGUAUUGAGAUCGAAACUCGGCAAAUGAACACAAAAGAAAUUUUUUUAUAUUAUAGUAGAACCUGGUUAAAGACUGCCUACGCACCCUUUGAAUAGGGGUCAAACAAAAUUGUAAUUCAUGACAAGGAACGUCAAAAAACAUUUAUGAGACUUCUCAGCUUUGUGUAUAAAGUUGUCAAGAUUAUUGUUGAUGACUAGGGUAGGCCUGCUCUACGGGCGGAAUUUGAUAUUUCUUCAUAACUUAUUUUUCAAAUUUACGGAAUUUGUUCAUUUUUGAUCCGAACCAGAUUUUUAUAUGAUUAUUUUGAAAUUGGUGUAAUUGAAAACUAAGGAAAAUAAAAAUUAGCUAAAGUCAAAUUUUUGGAGCAUUAAAAGAGAAAAUAUACACGUCAUCUCUAAUUAGAUGACACAAAAUCAAGCAUGAAUUACAAAACCAUAUAAUAAGUUGUGCAUUCGGCUCUAUGAUGAACAAAGUUGGAACUUUUCUUUUAAGAUAUAUGUAUUGUCUACAUAAAAUGAAGAGUCACACUAAAAUAUAUGUAUUGUCAACUUAAAUACAUAUUUAAAGUAAUUUUCCUCCCCGAGAUUGAUCCAAGGACCAAGGUGAUGUAUAGUCCCUAAAAAAGAGCAAUAAUGUCUAAUAUUGAUUAAUGAACGCAUCGCUGCAAUUUAAACAAAACCUCCAAAUAUAAAAAAAUGUGGAACCUUAUAAAGUUUUUUUUUUUUUUUUUUUUUGGUGUAAAUGUUAAAUUUUAUACCAAAUUUUUUUUUUUGACAGAAGUUACAAAGAAAACUAGCGGAAUCAAAAACAAACUAAAACAACACCAGAGAAAGAAAGAAAAAGCAACCCCGAGAGAUAAAUGGACUAUAUCGAAAAUUAAACAAAAGGUUUCCUAGUUAAGGAAGAGCAGAAACUAGACCGGAAAGCAUUGCCACAAGAUUUUGAAGUCUUUGAUAAUACAUGAGACCACGCUUUGGUAGAAAUUGGCUUGCCCGCAGCGCUACUCCAAAUGAUUGACUCCAAUCCCGCGCAGCUUUGCAAUCCUAAUCGCUGCAACCCGAGCCUCGAACAACCACCGGAAGACAAAACCCGAGCUCCUAGAGCCUCAGUCCACAACCCGCCCUAGCAAACCCUUAGAGCGCCGUCAGGCCAGUCCAGAAAUCAACGAGGUCACACUUAUUGUACUCGACUUCGGAACUAAAUGCGAGUCACAGCAGAAAGCGGGAGUGGUGAGAGCCACAUCUUGCUGUCGAUCUUCCUAACCUACAAACAGACCGAAGAUCAGCCCACCAAAUCGAACCAACGGUUACAAAAGAGGUGCUGGGAUGACCAAUCUUCACACGAGCCUCCCGCGGUGAGUCUUCACUCCAAUGACCCAAGGGAGAUCCGAGCAAACCGCCUCGCCCUAGCUCCGAGAACCGGAGCUAGCUCCAAAAUGCCUCAUCAAACCUACACCACAGGGGAGAACCGGAGAGUAGACCGACAAGCCGGAGAGAAAGAGACCACAUCGUAACACAACGCAACGACACAUACGACAACAUGAGCGGCGUCGACUGAGAGAGAAGAAGCUGGAGCAAUCACCGGAAGAACCCAAGGCAAAGUCAUAGACGGCCCACCUUGAGAACAGAACCAGAAACCGCACACGAACAACACAGCAGUAACUGCGACCACACGGAAGCCUUCACCACUGCAGACGCACACCGGAGAGACCCCGGAUCCAACUUGACCUGUACAGAACGGAGGCGCACAAUAAGCUCGACGUCGAGCGAGUGAGCCACCACACUGCCGGUAUGCUCCUCCAUAAAGUUUAACACAUGAUACCAAUAUUCACAGAUGAUAGCAAACUUACCAAAAAUUAAUUACUUCUUUAAACUAUCUUUCAUUAUUAUAUAUGAUAUUUACUCCAUCUUUUACAUUUGUGUAAAAAUGAUUGGGUUCUUCUUGUCAACUGGAGUGAUUGAGAGAAUAGAGAUUAGAGGGUUUGUGACUGGGUUGCUUUACGCCGUGCUCUUCGUUCUCAAGCAGCAAUGGGUGUUAGAGUUCCCAAUCAUUCAGUUCGCCACCGAAUUAGCCAUUUGAAGGAAAGAAGUCUGCUUUGGGUUUUCUUUUUUGUAAAAGGCUUUUAUAUUAAAAUGCAGAAAAAAGAAAAUAAUACAAACCUUAAUGAUGAUUAUCAUUCUUUGUUCAAACUUUAGAUUAAUUAAUUAAUUAAAGAUUUUUCAACAUGGGAGUUGAAUCAACGGCUACGAUUACGGGUAACAUUACAAAAUCUCUCAUAAAAACGUUCGGCCUUUGAGUGGCGCGAGUAUAUCUCACACGCGACUCUAGUUUUCUCUCUAAAUCAACAUCGCUUUCGCCUAGGGUAAAGACACAGACGUCGCCGGCAGUCUCGUCGGUGGUCGUUGUGGAUCACCCUCUGGUCUCUGAGCAUCAAGACGGAGCAGUAUUGAUAGUAACCUGGUAGCUCUUCUCUUCCCGUCUUGGUGAAUCGGACGGGUUCUGUGAAGGGGAAGAAGACCCCUACGAUGGCUUAGCUCCUGGUGGCUCGUCAGGAGUAUGCUCUGCUCUCCCUGUAAUGAGGACGACGGGGACGCGAACAGAAACUGCAUAGUCAUUCAUCGGAGGCUAGUGGUCUGUCCCGACGGUUGAAUUUUCGUGUUUGGUGACGGAGGAUUUAUGGACUGGGAUGGCAGUUCCCCUUCGUGUGUUUCUCCUCCGGCCCGGACGCGGAUCUUCACCGCCUAGAUGAAAGGGAGGAGGCGGUCUCUCAGACUUUUGAAGAGACGAUGGUCAUGUAGCAGACGUCAGCGAUUAGAGUUUGGUGUCGAUUUUUCUACAAAGUCAACGUCUUUGGCCGCGGGGACAACUCCGAAGUCAACUCCGAAGGCAGAUGGUGGCGGAUCUAGGGUUGGAAUUGGACAUCUGGCCUUUGCGAUGUACCGGAGCUGGUUGGUGUUGCUCGUGUUCAACCAGAGGUUAGGAACUUGCCUCCUUGGUCUUUCGUUUAACCUCCCCCACCGUUCUUGAGUAGCUUGCAGCUGAGGUUAAUCUUAGAUCUACUUCCCUGCCCCUCGAUUAUCUUGUAAACUGUAAUUAUUAAUUUUUUUUUUUCUGUCUAAGUAUUUGUAGUAACUUUUCUGUCUAAGUAUUUGUAGUAACUGGCCAAGUCAAUCUCGGGAAGCUUUUUAGAAUGUUUAGGAUUUGAUAAAAAAAUACUGAUGAA